rnacentral:rRNA from 1 species
GGGGUGCAGCAGGCGCGAAACCUUUGCAAUGCGUGAAAGCGCGACAAGGCGAGUCGGAGUGCAGUUGUUAAAACAACUGCUUUUGCUCACUGAAAACGGGUGGGUGAAUAAGGACUGGGUAACACGAGUGCCAGCCGCCGCGGUAAUACUCGGAGUCCAAGUGAUUGCCACUAUUAUUGGGUCUAAAGCGUCCGUAGCCGGCCCUGUAAGUCCCUGGUGAAAUCUGGCAGCAAACUGUCAGGCGUGCUGGGGUUACUGCGGGGCUCGAGACCGGGAGAGGACACAGAUACUCGUGGGGUAGGGGUUAAAUCCUAUAAUCCUACGGGGAUCACCUGUGGCGAAGGCGUGUGUCUGGAACGGGUCUGACGGUGAGGGACGAAAGCUAGGGGAGCGAUCGGGAUUAGAUACCCCGGUAGUCCUAGCCGUAAACGAUGCCCGCUUGGUGUUGCAGUCCUCUUGGGGGAUUGCAGUGCCGGAGCGUAGGUGUUAAGCGGGCCACCUGGGGAGUAUACUCGCAAGGGUGAAACUUAAGGGAAUUGGC